UGAGAUGAAAAGACACCUUAUUUAGAUGAAAAGUUGCAAUUUUGACAUUAUUUUUUUCACCAUUUUAUUAUUAGUAGAUUAGUGAAAAUUUGAUUUGAAAAAUGCAUGGGAGAGACUAUUUAUAGAUUUUUUAAAGCCUAUUUGAAUAGUCACAACCCUUCAAUAUGAAUAGUUGCAUUCUUCUAAUACUCACAACUUCUCACUUUUUAAAAGAUACU
rnacentral:lncRNA from 1 species